rnacentral:rRNA from 1 species
AUUGAACGCUGGCGGCAGGCUUAACACAUGCAAGUCGAGCGGAGAUGAGGUGCUUGCACCUUAUCUUAGCGGCGGACGGGUGAGUAAUGCUUAGGAAUCUGCCUAUUAGUGGGGGACGACAUUCCGAAAGGAAUGCUAAUACCGCAUACGUCCUACGGGAGAAAGCAGGGGAUCUUCGGACCUUGCGCUAGUAGAUGAGCUUAGGUCAGAUUAGCUAGGUGGUGGGGUAAGGGCCUACCAAGGCGACGAUAUGUAGCGGGUCUGAGAGGAUGAGCCGCCACACUGGGACUGAGACACGGCCCAGACUCCUACGGGAGGCAGCAGUGGGGAAUAUUGGACAAUGGGGGGAACCCUGAUCCAGCCAUGCCGCGUGGGUGAAGAAGGCCUUAUGGUUGUAAAGCACUUUAAGCGAGGAGGAGGCUACUGAGACUAAUACUCUUGGAUAGUGGACGUUACUCGCAGAAUAAGCACCGGCUAACUCUGUGCCAGCCGCCGCCGUAAAAC